AUGUUCUGAAACGGAUCAAUUCUAUUACUUUAUUGAUACUUCCACGCAUUUUGACAUUUCCAGACACAUGUGCAUAAAAAGAAUAAGUAUUGACAGUAUUUAUUCUGUUACACAUUAUGAAAGAAUGACCUCAAUCUACAUGGCUAUUAGGGUGAAACUAAAGUGAAAGCAAGAAGUAGAAAUUUCUU